GCCACCCUGAAAGUUUUAUUUUCUCCAGGAAAGUAGAGUUCACUUUGAGAGUUCUAGCCUGUGAACUCAGUAUGUAAAUGUGGUCAUCAAGCAAGACGGAGCUGCCAAGAGGGAAGAUUUUGAACGUUUCUCUUUCCUAAAACCCUUCCCAGCAUUCCUUCUUCUGGGGGUGCUUUACUUGAAGUUUCCCUCUUUCCCCAACACUGUUGAAAAUAGCUCCCAAGCAACACUGCAGUAGCUAAACCAAUUGUACUGUGAAGUUGUUGAGCUGGCAUUUCAUCUGAAUCCUUUGUAAAAACUAGAUUUUAAGUAGGGGUUGCUAAUCUGUCAGAGAGGUGAGCAGAAAGACACUCCACUUCCUAUUGAUUAAAUAUAUGGUUCCAAAGUGGGACCUGUGCUUAGAUAUCAGACUCUCUGUUAGAAAUACUAUCUGGCAUAAAUCAAAAUUUCUCAAUUAGAUAAAAUUAUUAUUUAAAAACAUCUUAAAUUUGUUUAAUGCCCUACAGCUUACAGAACACUUCUCAAUUCAUAAUUUUGUUUGAUCCUUAGAAGACUGUUAUGAUAUAAACACAUAACACUAAUCUCAUUUUACCAAGGAGGAAGCUGAGUCACUUGUACACUGUGAUCCAGCUGAUAAAUGGAAGAACUGGGAUACCCACUCAGAUUUUAUAGCUUCUGUUUUAAGUGAUUAACCUGUAGCAAUAGGCAUUUAAAUUCCUUUUGUGUUCUACAUCCCUGAAAAUCAAGAUUUUGUAUGAAGGAGCAAAGUUUUUAUAUUUCACAGAUACAGAAGUUAAAGGACC